UUAGAAUAUUGGGCAGACUAGAUGGGUCGAAUGGGUCUUAUCUGCCGUCACAUUCCAUGUUUCUAUGUUUCUAUAAUAGAAAGUAAACUAAUGUGCACUAAAUGUUCUGGCUGUGCUUUCUCAGACAAAAGCCUCGAAUGAUGUCAUAGUGCAAUUAUAUUAAUCUACUUACAUCAAAACAUACCUACACACAAAGAAAAGAAAUGAUGUCAUUUUAUUUGAUGGCAUAUCAAAUGUGACAGAUCCACUUUGAACAGAGAAAAUGAAAACCACAUGACCGCUACUGCUCCUACAUAUAGUACAUUGCUACUACACUGUUAUCAAAGCCAAACAAAAUGCUAUUUUUUUUUGUAUGUUUGUACAGAAAAUGGAAAAACAUUACAAUUGCCAAUGUGUCUGUAAAAUGCAGUAACACUGUAGUAAAUAUUGUUUGUGAAUACAGAUUUUAUUCAGUAUUGUUUGUGGAUACAGGUUUUAUUUAU